CCUACGGGAGGCAGCAGUGAGGAAUAUUGGUCAAUGGGCUUACGCCUGAACCAGCCAAGUCGCGUGAGGGAAGACUGCCCUAUGGGUUGUAAACCUCUUUUGUCAGGGAGCAACGCCGGCUACGUGUAGCCGGACUGAGAGUACCUGAAGAAAAAGCAUCGGCUAACUCCGUGCCAGCAGCCGCGGUAAUACGGAGGAUGCGAGCGUUAUCCGGAUUUAUUGGGUUUAAAGGGUGCGUAGGCGGAAUGCCAAGUCAGCGGUAAAAUCGCGGGGCUCAACCUCGCUCCGCCGUUGAAACUGGCGGUCUUGAGUGGGCGAGAAGUAGGCGGAAUGCGUGGUGUAGCGGUGAAAUGCAUAGAGAUCACGCAGAACUCCGAUUGCGAAGGCAGCAUACCGGCGCCCAACUGACGCUGAAGCACGAAAGCGUGGGUAUCGAACAGGAUUAGAUACCCCAGUAGUC
rnacentral:rRNA from 1 species